AUUGAACGCUGGCGGCAUGCCUUACACAUGCAAGUCGAACGGCAGCGGGGACUUCGGUCCGCCGGCGAGUGGCGAACGGGUGAGUAAUGUAUCGGAACGUACCAUUGAGUGGGGGAUAACGUAGCGAAAGUUACGCUAAUACCGCAUAUUCUCUCCGGAGGAAAGCAGGGGACCGCAAGGCCUUGCGCUCUUUGAGCGGCCGAUAUCAGAUUAGCUAGUUGGUGGGGUAAAAGCUCACCAGGCGACGAUCUGUAGCGGGUCUGAGAGGAUGAUCCGCCACACUGGAACUGAGACACGGUCCAGACUCCUACGGGAGGCAGCAGUGGGGAAUUUUGGACAAUGGGGGCAACCCUGAUCCAGCCAUGCCGCGUGAGUGAAGAAGGCCUUCGGGUUGUAAAGCUCUUUCGGCCGGGAAAAAAUCGCAUGGGUUAAUACCCUGUGUGGAUGAUGGUACCGGAAUAAGAAGCACCAGCUAACUACGUGCCAGCCGCCGCCGUAA
rnacentral:rRNA from 1 species